rnacentral:rRNA from 1 species
CCUACGGGCGGCAGCAGUAGGGAAUCUUUCACAAUGGGCGAAAGCCUGAUGGAGCAACGCCGCGUGCAGGAUGAAGGCCUUCGGGUUGUAAACUGCUUUUAUAAGCGAGAAAUAUGAUGGUAACUUAUGAAUAAGGAUCGGCUAACUACGUGCCAGCAGCCGCGGUCAUACGUAGGAUCCGAGCAUUAUCCGGAGUGACUGGGUGUAAAGAGUUGCGUAGGUGGCAUAAUAAGUAGCUAGUGAAAUCUGGUGGCUCAACCAUUCAGACUAUUAGCUAAACUGUUAAGCUCGAGACCGUUAGGGGUAACUGGAAGUUCUAGUGUAGGAGUGAAAUCCGUAGAUAUGAGAAGGAACACCAAUAGCGUAGGCAGGUUGCUGGGACGGUUCUGACACUAAGGCACGAAAGCGUAGGGAGCAAACGGGAUUAGAUACCCGUUAGUC